rnacentral:rRNA from 1 species
UACGAAGGGUGCAAGCGUUACUCGGAAUUACUGGGCGUAAAGCGUGCGUAGGUGGUUCGUUAAGUCUGAUGUGAAAGCCCUGGGCUCAACCUGGGAACUGCAUCCGAGACUGCAUUGCUAGAGUAUGGGAGAGGAAAGCGGAAUUUCUGGUGUAGCAGUGAAAUGCGUAGAUAUCAGAAGGAACAUCAGUGGCGAAGGCGGCUUUCUGGACCAAUACUGACGAUCAGGUGCGAAAGCGUGGGGAGCAAACAGG